GUCAAUAACCCAUCACUAAAGUGACGGGCUUGAAAAGCCUUUAUUGAUUAGACUAAGUAUUAAAUUACUACGUUAUUAUAGUUAUCAUACCCUAGAAUAUUUAUCCUAGUUUUAGGCUCUAUG
rnacentral:sRNA from 20 species